AGAUGGUUUUCUAGCAUGGUUACCUACCUGGAAAGAAUAUCUAGCUGAAAUUUGUUCGUGUUUUGUUCGUGUUUUGAGCACUUUUACUAUUGUUACAGCUUGAUGAUGUAAUUCAAUUCUAACCUUUAAAUUGAGAGACACAUGACAAGAGGACUCAGUGACUGCUGCAGAUAGUGUAACGCUAAACUCAAGCUGUUGAAGGCAGAAGUAAAGAGACUCAGUAUGGAAUUCGGAGAAUUUAAAAAGCGGAAUAUGAUAUCACACGCCACUUCGUCAUCGAGCUGACUAACAACAAUUUAAUGCAUUAUUAUUAUUUUAUUGAAGUUUGACAUUAAGACUUUCAAGCAAAAUUAAGUUGACAAUAAAAAAAAUACUUUAUAAUAAUUAUUAUGUACAUGUAUAUUAUGUACAUGUAUAUAUCCAGUUUGUACUUCUAAGUCACCACUAAGUAAGUCUAGUACCAAAUCAAAUCAAAUGAACACAACUCUUCCUCGUUAUCAUACUGUUCAACUGUUCAACUGCAUCGUAAUUUACUAUAUACCAUGGUUACUAUAGUACCAUGGUACCAUUCUACUAUGUUCGUAUAUGUUCGUAUCACCAAUGUUCGUAUCACCAACUACAAAUUUGUGGCGUAUACGUUUACCAAUCAAAGAGCUAGGAUUUUCCAAAUAGCUUGUGUGUAAAUCGUUAAAAAUCUCACUUAGACACCGCUGUUUCCUUGCCCAACUUUUGCCUCAAUACUUCUUUCCUGAUAUUAAUCUGUAUUUUCAAUAGCGAAAGCUUCUUACUCUUCUUCUUAUUCAAAGCAAUACUUUCUGCAUCAAUAUCCAGCAAAAUUUGGUGCCUUCCGCCUUUGUGCCUUUGUUCAAUUAUAUCUAUUUUUGUUCAGCAUUCACCGUUGGCUUUUGCUGAACAGCAAGAUCCAGCAAUUUACUUUGCUGUUUCUCUGGAAGCCACUGCACUCUGGAAGCCACUGCAAGGUGUUAGUUUUUCUUCACCUGAGUUUUUCUUCACCUGAACAAGGUUUGACCUUGCGACUUGAGUUAGGUUAGUCGCAAUCAUUGCUUGCUGCUGGUUCGCUGCUGGUUCGGGGUUCCAAUAUUCACCAGAAGGUAAUUGUUUUCCCUCAGUGAAGAUAGCUGAUAUAAUUAAGACUGUGAUAAGAUGUUUUUUUCCUGCCAUUGAUGUUGACGGAUUGCAGCUUCCUAAACGGUCAUGUGCUGACUGUAUGUGCUGACUAUAAUAUGCGUAAAUGUGAGCUGGUAACAAUUAGUAACGCACACAAAGCUACAGUUCUGAGUGAGUGCACAUCAGGAUAUCAAUUGAAUACAGAUGGCACUACGAACAACACUACGAACAACGAACAACACAACACGUACAACACAACACGUACACUGCAAUACACUGCAAUACUUAUGUUGUCUACAUACUUAUGUAUGUUGUCUACACCAAAUCAAAAAUGGUGCACUUUAUAAAGAACAUUUGAACAAGCCAGCUGAGCCAGCCAGAUGAAACAAACAAUGUGCUAGGAUCCACUCAAAAUAAUUCUGGCAAUUGAUCAUAUCCCCCUAAGCCUAAAAAUGCUGUGAGGAAAAACCUUGGAUGCAAAUUUGAGCACUACUUGCGGUGAAGCGACACCUAGUUGCUAAAUAUACAUUAACCAGUGAGAAAACAUACCAGUCAGCUUAGAUUAAUCACUGGCACAAUUUAAUCACUGGUUGAUCUUUUGUCUAAUUAACUGAAUUGAAUUACAAAAAAGUGCGAACAAAUUUCAGCUAGAGAUCAGGUAGGUAACUACAGGUAGGUAACUAUGCUAGAAGAACCAUCUCCUGAAAAUCGGUAUUUUGAAGUGGGAACCCUAGCAUGGCACUACAAAACUUCAGGACCUAACUUUUGUCUUGUACAGGUUUGACCUCCUCUAAAUAGAUAACAGGUAACAGGCAACAGGCACGCAGUUUUACUAUGUUUUCAAUGUAAAAUAAGCUGUGACGUCACGUUUAGUCUCGCGUCUGUUAGGCAUGUCUGUUUGAUUAUUUAUCUCGUUUUGUAGCACCUUCAGUGAAAGGGCUGCCCAAGUUAACUAUUACCAGUAUGGGAGCCACGCAUCAGAAAAGCUAACGCUAAAGAAACUGAUGAUACAUAUCUGAUUGUCACUGAAGAACUUCGUCUAUGAGAGCUACAAUUGGUUUUUAUAGAACACUACAUCGCAGAACAAUGUUACGGUUACGGCUACAUUCUAACCUAAAGGCAUUCUAACCUAAAGGGAAGAGGCGGCAGACCAAGAUAUGAUGGUAGACCUGCUCUUCGCUGGUAUGAUGGUAUACGAUACCCAAUUAGAAGUAUGUCUUCGAAGAUGACAAAGUGUUAUGAACAUUGAAUACAGAAUUUACAGAAUUUACAGAAUUAAAAAGUAACGUUAAGAGGCCAAUCAUUGCUGCAUUGCGAGAUAUUACUAGAUAUUACUAUAUUACUACUAAAUCAAAAAUCAUAUAGUAAAAAAAAUCAUAAUAAUAGUAAGCAACAUUCGUUGGAAGAAGAUCUUCAGGUUGAGGAAUGAUCAAAAAUACUCACCUGAGAUUAGGAAUAUUAUGAAUUAUUGGCAGAGCAGGUACCGCUUUCCAAAAUAACUGAAAUCAUUCAACAUGUUUUGAAGUGUUUUCAUCCAUCUGAAGAUUCUCAUAUAAGAAAAGAGGAAUUUGUGAUGUCCACAAGGUAACAGAGAUUUUGGGAGACUCAACUAAUUCUAAGCCGAUGGUACGACAAAAAACCAGAAAAAACUAGGUGGAGUAGAAACUAGGUGGAGUAGUAGCAAAUAAUAUGGAUCUGCUUUUAGUGCCGUUGAUGACAUUUCUAGAGAGUUAGAGAAGCUAAGACAUUAUAAACUGGACUCUAGUCUACUCAAAAGCGACAACUUAUUGAGGAGCAUGUGAUGAGAAAACAUUUGGACCAGCAACAUUUUGCUCUAUGCAUUUAGGAAUCAACCUGAGAAAGGCUUUCUUAACCAAAUAGCUGCGGUUAUGAUUUCAUACGUAAUACCGCCCACCGCCCGCGGUGGAACCAAAAUCUAAAUUACUUAGCCCCUAGCAAAGAAAGAUGCGUAGCCUGUAGCAGCAGUUGCAAAUUAGUCUAGAAUAGUUACUCUGCCAGGAUCUCUAAGUUUCGAACGGAAGAGUAUACCAGCCAAGGCCCCAGCGAAGGAUCAUUUCACAAGUAAGCUCUGUGUGUGUGUAUAGCGAUCAGCAUUUUCCUAGUUCAGAGCCUUUGAGCUGAUUUAAUAUGCUUGUCCACCUACCUAGAUAGCCUCUGAGUGUGUGAAAUAUACUGGAAGAGUAGCUUAGUUAGUUUAGAGCCUGUUUUUAGAGUGUAGUCUACAACGUUUAUUAUUUUCUCUUUUUCAGCAUUCGCCUUUAGCAAAGAAAGAUGCAUAACUUGGAAACAGAUAACUUGGAAACAGUGACUGUUUUCUUUAUUCAACUUCUUAUCUACAGUACUUACUGUGUCAGGAUCUCCUGGUUUCCAACGAAACAGUCAACCAGCCAAGGGCCAGAGCACUUCAGAGGUAAGCUUUGUGUGCGUAUAUAGCAAGCAAGCAUUAUGUAGCUAGUAUAAGCCUUCAUAAGUCUCUGAGCUGAUUUAAUAUGCUUAUGCACUUGCCUAGAUAGCUUAUGAGUGUGUAAAGUAUACUUGUGUAGAAGCUGAGUUAGUUUAGAGCCUGUUUUUAGAGUGUAGUGUACAGUGUUUGAUAUUAAAUUUAUUGUGGCAAAGCACCCCGUAACAGUUCUCUUCAAGCUACCUUGUAGUUCUAUCUGAACAGUCGAAGAGUCAACCAGCCAAGGACAGAGCGAGAGAUUACUUUAGAGCUGUGAAGAAUGCUGGACACCGGAAAGUUUGGGCCAACAGAUUGGUUGAGAUGGUGGGAGUCCAUAGGCAGGCCACUGAGUGGUGUUUGUGUGUGUGUGUGUGUCUGUGGCUGUAUAUGUGUUCCCACGCGAGUGUCUGUAUGUGUGCCCGCGUGGGUGUACGUGUGUGUAUGGCUACACGUGCACAAUGGCUACACGUGCACACGCGCGUGUAUCUGUGUGUGUGUGUGUGUGUGUGUGUGUGUGUGUGCCCCCUGUGUGUGCCUGUGGCAUGAUACUUUAUACGUGCUAACAAUUUACAUUAUCAUUAUCAGUGGUGCCAAAAGCUUGCUUCCAAGGUUACAAUUCAAUUAGGCUCACUUCUCAAUUAGGCUCACUACUCAUUAGGCUCACUGUGUACAUGUACGAUUGUUCAGGGGAAAGAAAAGGCUUGUUGGGUUUAUGAGUGUACUGUUUACUUGUGUAAGGACAUUUUCUUCCAAACAUAAUAGGCUUGUUGGUUGUGUUAUGCUCCCCAGCUAGGAUUAGGUCACAAUUUGUCAUUAGUUGGAAUUUGUCAUUAGUUGGCUAGUUGGCUUGUGUGAUUAGUUGGCUUGUGUUUGCCUGUGAUACCUGUGAUAUGCAUUGUAAUUCUGUGCCCAAAGUUUAAUCUUUUUAUGAACUCCCAGUUUGUUGUAGGAUCACAAUUGCUUGUGCCUAUGAGUGCCAUUGCAUGUAAGUUUGCUUGUGGGAGCCUGUACAUAAUCAUGUCUAAGGUUGCAUGAUUCAUAAUUUUUUGUAUGAGAUGUACUGUACUUUGUGUAUGGCUCUUCUCAGUAUACUUCUUUAGGUUUGAGUUAGUGCCCAACUUUUAGUGUGCUGUCAUAGCAAUUCAAUUAUAAUUAUGUGGCUGUUAUGUGGCUGAAUGUUACUGCUAUCUGCCAUGGACCAUCUAUGGGUCUCACUGUCACUGCUAUCCAAGAUACCCAGGAUACCUCAUCCCCUGUGUACAGAGGCCUCUUUGUUAUUGUUGUACCAUAGUAUGUUCACUUUUGAGAUUGAUAUUGAAUUUAUAUAAACAAGCAAAUUUUUGAUCGGACUCGGUAUGGAUCGGACUCGGUAUGGCUUCUGUUGACCUUCGAGAGAAGCCUUGCAAAGAUGUGGAGCUCAGGAAGGUUGUAGCUUACCACAAAUUAAAUAAGAGUAGAGUAAUGUGCGGUUGAUGCAAAUAUGCGUCAUCCGCGGCUAAAGGGUCUAUUCCGUAAUUACGCAAAUAUGCGUCAUCCGCGGUUUAUCAUGUGAAAGACGAUAUCAUAGAGUCGAUACUUUUAGUGCACGAGUUUUGCAAAUUAUUUGGAACGUUUGGAACGUUAGAGUAUUGUGUGGGAUUUCCUUAAAUUAAAAUUUUUUAUCUCAAAGAUACGGCUCCAUAGACAAGUUGGAAGUCCUAUCAAAGAUUCUGGCAACAAAUUGGAACAAGAUGUAUUUGUUAAAUUGCAAGAUCCCAUUGAGUACUAUCAUAUUUAUGGUGAUUUGUUCAUGCUGUCCAAGUGGAACCAACACUAUUUGCAACUCAGAAAUUACAGUGGAUCCUGACGUUGUAUUCAAACCUGAUUAUCAUGUGUUCUCCUCAGAGUUCUCCUCAGAGAAAAGAAUAGCAAACUAAACUUACGUCUAAACUUUUCGAAGUUACACAAGUCACAGUGCUACUUAAACUUGUCAAGGGAGAAGGUAAAAUAAUGAAGGAGAACUCUUAUGCAGCUUCCUGGUGGAAAUUAUUGGAAUCCAGACAAGGAUGUGUUAUGCCUUAGCAAUGAUAUUUGUAAGUCUCUCAAUGACCACCAACCUUCAUCAAAUGUCACGCUCAAACCUUGUGCAAGUUGAAUAAGACAGCUUCCCGGCAAUGAAUUGACAAGACAAAUGUCAGUGCCGCAAGAAAGAGGACCUUGAAGAUGGAUAUUUUAAAGACUCAGGUACAGUCCUGGUACAGUCCUGGGUCAGAGCGUGCCCAUAUACAAUCGUAAGUGAUAUUACACGAGAUUAAAUUGUGUUGAUUCAGAGUUCGCCCUGUUGGAAAAAGAAUCAAACAGAGACGAUGAAGAAACAUACUGUGAUGGAGAACAGGAAGUGUGCUAUUUUGACUUAACGAUUGACUUUUUUAGUGGAGACCAGGACGCAGACUAAACAUACUAUUAUUGAAAUCUAUGUAAACUAGAGCACUAAAGUGCAAACCCUCGGCUGGUGACAUGAACCAGAAGAGCAGUGCAUGUAGCAUGUAUGGUAUGACUAGCACAGCAACUCAAGAGCAAUAAAACUAAACCAGACUGGAGGCAUGCUGAAACAUUGAGUGGUACAUGUCACAUGAGACAUGUACUGUGGACUCAGAGUAUAGGAUCCAGAGAACCAGUCACAAUUUUAGCUUUCUACUAUCAAUUGUUCCUGGUACGGAUCACUUCAGCUGCAACUACGUUACGUGUAACUGCUUCUUAGCUUUUGCUCGACAAAGAAGCUUUAACAUCAAAAUCUGGCUAUACAUGCUGUAAACGCAGCGCUGUGGUACCCAGGUGAGUAGAUAUACCUGUGACAAACAAACAAACAGACCAACAGACUACUAUACCCGUGGCCACCCACGGCGCCUCGGGUUAUAUUCAAGUCCUGCCAUGUCCUUUAAAAUGUCCAUUAACUAUCAUUAACAUCGACUUGUGGCUCACUAAAUUCUGUUCUUAGUUUUUGAACAAGGUCCACUAAAUUUGUAAUCUGUUGUUGCAGAUCAUACAAGGCCACUGCAGUGAGAAACUAAUUAUUAAAUCGUCAGACAUUGACUUCAACAGCCUGUGUAUAAUACAUACUGACAUUUCGUAAUGUUUGUUACUUUGUUACAGAGUAGAAUCUAGUAUUAAUAAUGAAAAUAGGUGAAACUAAAAAUACAUCGGAUGCAGUUUGGUGGUUACAUGGGACGAUUCUCCUUUUAAUUAUUAUCAUAGAUACAUGCACCAACCUACUUCAUAAAAAUACAGUGAGGAACUUCGACAUUUUCAAUUUCUGGUUGUAGCUUUGACAACCAAGUGCAAUUUGACUGCUCUAAACUACUUACCUUGAAGUGUAGAAUUCCAGCACAAAAUCACUUUAUCUGCUCUACAACACAAGUUUUGAAAUUCAACUUUGAACUGUGCUUUCUUUAGAGUGGGUUUACGGUUGCUAUUGUGCAAGAACCUGCUUUAUUUUAGUUGCUUUGUAUGCGCAAUCAGGGAGGGAUACAAAAGGAAGGGGAUUGGAAACGAAAUUGUUUGCGUAUUUUUGCGUGAAGCAUUCCGCGUUAUAGGGCGUGGCUAAAACUAUAUAGUCAGCACCUGUCUUGACUCCUCUAAUUGAUCAUUUUUAAUGUUGAAAAGUAAAGAGGAUUUAGCUCUAAAAAGUCCACUAAGCCUGCUAUACAAGAAGGAAUAGCCCUUACUAUGAAGUCGUGGGAGGGACAGGCCUGUGGUGUGUCUAAAAGUAUACUAAAGCAGUUUGAAGGACUAUACUGCAAACGUUUAUGAACAGUACAGCUCAUCUAUAGCAUGAAACCAUCCUAUAUAGCACUUAGAUACAUAAUAACCAAGUCAAGCAAUGUCCUUUGCUGUUUUGACUUCACAGGAGGGACGGAGAAAACUUGACAUAGAGCUAAACUCAACAAAAAUUGGAAACAGAGUAAAGUAUAAGCUUACUUUUCUUGAGUACCUCCCAGCCCCUGAGUGAUCGCUAGUGGAUAGGAGAGCUAGAAACAGUUGAAAUACAACCAGAGCACGGUCAAAACAAAAAGAAUCGCGAGUGCGAAUCAUAACGAGGAGUGCUUCACCGGAUGUCAGUCCUUUUACACAGGGCGUGGGCGGUCGUUUCCAAUCCCCUUUCUUUUGUAUCAAUCACUCAAAACACUUUUGCAGAGAUCAGAUUUUUGUGUGGAAACACUCGCACAGUAAAUAUGUCAUCUGUAAAAGAGGUAUACUUACGUAUGUGCGAGCAGUGCAUGAUGUGUUUUAUUUUAUCGAAUGAAAUGAAAGUGGAAAGUGAUUGUGUAACAGUGAGUAACAGUGAAUAUAAACGAGUAGUCUAUAGAUACGAUUCCCUGUGCCAAUUAUUCUAUAGUAACAAUAUGGACGUAAUAUGGUUUUAUGCAUUGUCAUGAGCCACCAGCACAUGUAUAUAAUACUGAAGUUGUGUUUGUAUCGAAUCGAAUCCUUGUGUCGGCAUCUAUGUAGUAGGUAUAUAUUCACUUACAGCAGCGGCGUUUUCAGGAAAGCCUGGGGAUUCAAUUGGUCCUCAAUAUACCAAUGAACAGCAUGUUGGUGAAGAUUGCUUCCGAGAGGGCUGAAGCUGGUGUUCUAGCAGGGGUCAGGGGUCAAGAGUCAGCUUGUUCCCUUCACUCAAGGAUGCCAGGCACACAGUUGACUUCAAGACGAUGAUAACAUUAACAUGCACACAAACAACUGUGUAUUAAUGCACUUACACUGAAUGCACUUACACUGGAGUGCACCGACUGACCUGGCAUGAAGGGGGAAAGAUACGGGAGGAGGGAGCUUUAAAAUGUCUUUCCAAUUCCCCAGUCAACACUUGUGCCUUCUGUGUGUUUGACGAACCUCAAGAUUGAAGUACGAAGAUGAGGUGGACAGUCUUCACAACAAGACAUGGUAAUAGUCAAUAUUAAGUACAGGGGAAAGAUGCAGGGUGUUCUUUUAGUGGGGACUAUGAGUGCCGCAUUUCGGUUAUCAGGUGCUUCAGGUAAACAUAAUUUUAUAGCAAUGUAUUAUCAUCAAAU